CGAAUGCUGACAUAAGUAACGAUAAAGCGGGUGAAAAGCCCGCUCGCCGGAAGACCAAGGGUUCCUGUCCAACGUUAAUCGGGGCAGGGUGAGUCGACCCCUAAGGCGAGGCCGAAAGGCGUAGUCGAUGGGAAACAGGUUAAUAUUCCUGUACUUGGUGUUACUGCGAAGGGGGGACGGAGAAGGCUAUGUUGGCCGGGCGACGGUUGUCCCGGUUUAAGCGUGUAGGCUGGUUUUCCAGGCAAAUCCGGAAAAUCAAGGCUGAGGCGUGAUGACGAGGCACUACGGUGCUGAAGCAACAAAUGCCCUGCUUCCAGGA
rnacentral:rRNA from 1 species